rnacentral:rRNA from 1 species
AGUGAACGCUGGCGGUAGGCCUAACACAUGCAAGUCGAACGAGUGGCGGACGGGUGAGGAAUACAUCGGAAUCUACUCUGUCGUGGGGGAUAACGUAGGGAAACUUACGCUAAUACCGCAUACGAUUGAAUGAGCCGAUGUCGGAUUAGCUAGUUGGCGGGGUAAAGGCCCACCAAGGCGACGAUCCGUAGCUGGUCUGAGAGGAUGAUCAGCCACACUGGAACUGAGACACGGUCCAGACUCCUACGGGAGGCAGCAGUGGGGAAUAUUGGACAAUGGGCGCAAGCCUGAUCCAGCCAUACCGCGUGGGUGAAGAAGGCCUUCGGGUUGUAAAGCCCUUUUGUUGGGAAAGCGGUACCCAAAGAAUAAGCACCGGCUAACUUCGUGCCAGCAGCCGCGGUAAUACGAAGGGUGCAAGCGUUACUCGGAAUUACUGGGCGUAAAGCGUGCGUAGGUGGUCGUUUAAGUCCGUUGUGAAAGCCCUGGGCUCAACCUGGGAACUGCAGUGGAUACUGGGCGACUAGAAUGUGGUAGAGGGUAGCGGAAUUCCUGGUGUAGCAGUGAAAUGCGUAGAGAUC